rnacentral:rRNA from 1 species
UGUGUAGGCGGUUUGGUAAGUUAGAUGUGAAAUCUCUGAGCUCAACUCAGAAACUGCAUUUGAUACUGCCAGGCUAGAGUACGAUAGAGGGAGAUGGAAUUCUGGGUGUAAGAGUGAAAUCUGCAGAUAUCCAGAGGAACACCAGUAGCGAAGGCGAUCUCCUGGGUCGAUACUGACGCUGAGACACGAAAACUAGGGGAGCAAACG